GUUGGCUUUCCUGGAGUCAGAAGAUUGUUUCAAGGUUUCUGAAUAAACUGCUUAGAGAAGAGCCUGGUGUUGCAUCUUCCUUACUGGUCGAGGCGGACGCGACAAUAGCUCAUUGGUUUAUUUUCAAAGCAAAUGGAAACCGUCACAGAAAACUGCAACUUGACAAAACACAGAAAUCAACAUAUCAUGGAAUUCUGAAACAGUUUCUGAGCUUCCUGGUAUCCUGGGUGCUUCUGUUCAGAUAUGAUCCUGCAAGGCCUCUUUCCAAAUCCCACCAAGGUUUUGCUUCUUGCUGUAUGGAAACUUCAACAAUCUAAGCCUUGAGCUGGCUGUUGAUUAAAUAUUCUGAACUUGUCUUCAACAGCUAUCUACAUGUCUACAUGGUAUGAACAGUGAGUCUUAUUAUCCUUAUUUUCAAAUAUACCAGGCACUAUCCUUAUUGUCAAAGAUAUCAUGAGCAUGUAUUUGUAUGUAGUGUGUAUGUGUUUGUAUUUUCACUCAUCUCAGAGCACUUAGGUAGGUUAAAAGCUGAUGUUAGGAUGUAUUCCUCAAGCACUUCUAUACCUUGCUUUUUGGGAGUCUUUCCCUGAACCUAGUACUCACUGGUUUGCCUGGACUAGCUAGCCAACAAACUUCCUGGAUCUAGUUCUCUGUCCAACCACUAGAAUUGUAGAUAUAUCCUACCAUAUUCUGGGUGGCUAAUCUCAGUUGUCAACAUAAUGAAAUCUAGAAUCAUCUGUAAGAUGGC